rnacentral:rRNA from 1 species
CCACACCUAAAAAACUUUCCACGUGAACCGUUUCAACCCAAUAGUUGGGGGUCUUAUUUGGCGGCGGCUGCCUGGCUUAAUUGUUGGCGGCUGCUGCUGAGUGAGCCCUAUCAAAAAAAAGGCGAACGUUUGGGCUUCGGCCCGAUUUAGUAGUCUUUUUUUCUUUUAAACCCAUUCCUUAAUACUGAAUAUACUGUGGGGACGAAAGUCUCUGCUUUUAACUAGAUAGCAACUUUCAGCAGUGGAUGUCUAGGCUCGCACAUCGAUGAAGAACGCUGCGAACUGCGAUACGUAAUGCGAAUUGCAGGAUUCAGUGAGUCAUCGAAAUUUUGAACGCAUAUUGCACUUCCGGGUUAGUCCUGGAAGUAUGCCUGUAUCAGUGUCCGUACAUUAAACUUGACUUUCUUCCUUCCGUGUAGUCGGUGGAGGAGAUGUCAGAUGUGAAGUGUCUUGCGAUUGGUCUUCGGACCGGCUGCGAGUCCUUUUAAAUGUACUAAACUGAACUUCUCUUUGCUCGAAAAGUGGUGGCGUUGCUGGUUGUGAAGGCUGCUAUUGUGGCAAAUUGGCGACUGGUUUGUCUGCUGCGGCGUUAAUGGAAGAGUGUUCGAUUCGUGGUAUGGUUGGCUUCGGCUGAACAAUGCACUUAUUGGACGUUUUUCCUGCUGUGGCGUGAUGGACUGGUGAACCAUAGCUCGGUGGCUUGGCUUUUGAAUUGGCUUUGCUGUUGCGAAGUAGGGUGGCAGCUUCGGUUGUCGAGGGUCGAUCCAUUUGGGAACUUAAUGUGUACUAUCGGUAUGCAUCUCAAUUGGACC